GAUUUUCUGCCUUGAAAGGAUGGGAAGACUUCUUUAUGGAUCUGAAAUAAACACCCAAGUCUCCAGUGCUGCGUCACAAACAAUGUGGAAGCACACAACCCUCUCCUUUUUUUGGCAUGAUAACUUUUUUGAGAAUCUCCCUGCAAGCAGCAGAGUGAAGAAGUGGCAAGGAGAGUGUGAGAACACAUUUUAGGAGGUGUGAAUCGUGGAGGGGGGAAUUGAAAAUUCCUUGUCAAAGUGUCUUGUCAAGCUGAAACAGCCUAAGUGAAUGAGAGCAGAGAAUUCAACUAUUUCUGCUGUUGCUUGGCUUGCCUGCUGCCGCCUGAUGGAGUCAAAAAAGAGAAAGCAUCAAGUG